UGUAGAAGGAUAUCCGGCCCUGGGGGUGGAGGAGGGCCCAGAGGGCAGGUUCAGUUAGACUGGGCAAUGCCAGAGAAACAUCCGAACACUGACCGACUUCCGACCACUCUGUGGUUCAACAGAUGCUUCCUGGAGGCCGGCUCUGGGCCAGGCCACACUGGCGUCCCUGCCUUCACAGAGGAACCGCCAGAGGUCACUGCAGCUGCUGCCGCCCCUUCCCUCCAGGUUUGCACACAGCCAUGAAGCCUGGACCUGUGGCAGCCAUCUUGUGAACGUGAGGCAAGAAGCAGGGGCCGAAAGCCAAGUCGCCCACGAUGGUGAAGCAGAAAAGAAGUCUGGGUUCCUGACGGUGGUGCUGAGCGGCAGAAUGGAUUUCUAACUACCUAAGGGCAGAGUGAAUGAAAGGGGAAAGUGAUAGUGAGGGGGUGGGAGGGGACAGGGAAUACCAGUAGGUCUCCAGUUUGGGCAAAUGGGUGGACGGCGGUACCAUCACUGAGAAAUGGCCUAAGGGCGGAAGAGGAGCAGGUCCGGGAGGAAGGUGCUGAGCUCAAGCCUGGAUGGGCUGAAUUUGGUGAGGGACACCCAGGGUGAGAAGCCAAGCAGAUCGGGGGCUAAGAGGUGAAGUCUGGCUGGAGAUCCGGGAGGCCUGGCACAGAGAUGGAGGUAAGCAGGACUGUAUGUAAGGUAAAAAUGGAGCCAACCGGGUCAGCAGCUGCAGGACACCCUGUGCCCAGGUCUCAUGUGUUCCGCAGGGGCCUCCUGUCGCAGGGGGGGAACCACAGAUGAACAACACUUUCUUCCAGGUGGGGAGCCAAUUGAAAGCAAUGAGUGGGGCGGAUGCUGGGUGCUGAGGGCCUGGCAGGGCUGUCGAGGUUGGUGUGGGGAGGAGCCUGAGGGGGGGCCCCCUGAGGAAGCAGGACCUGGGCUGGGGGCAGAGGUCCCUGGUUGCCUACCCAGUAUCAGAUCCCUCUUCCUCUUUUCUAGCAGAUCUCAUUCCACCACAGACAGCACCUGCCCGGACUAAAAGACUACUUUCCCAGUCUCCCUUGCAGCUGGGAGUGACCGAUGAAACGUGUGAUGUUUUUUGGUGGGGCUGCCUGGAAAGUUCUAUAAAUGUGGGUGUGGGGAGACAGCUGGGCGGUGCCACGCUUGACCUUCCACCUUCCUUCUGCCUCCUGCCUGGAGCGAGGCGUGACGGAGGGGGCUCCAGCAGCCAUUUGGUUUAUGAGGGGCCCUGGAGGCUAGAAGCCAGUGCUGGGUAUCCAGUGACAUUGUGGUACCACCACACCAGCCCCGACCACCUGUUUUCACAUUUCUUUCAUGCAAAAGAGAAAAACCUAUUAAUCUGUUUAAA